rnacentral:rRNA from 1 species
GUCAAGUACAAAGAGCAUCGGGUGGAUGCCUUGGCACUGGGAGCCGAAGAAGGACGUGAUAAGCUGCGAUAAGCUGCGGUAAGGAGCACAUAUCCGAUAUACCCGCAGAUUUCCGAAUGGGGGAACCCACAUACGGUAAUGCGUAUGUAUCAUUAAGUGAAUACAUAGCUUAAUGAGGGGAACGGGGUGAACUGAAACAUCUAAGUAGCCCUAGGAAGAGAAAGAAAAAUCGAUUUCCUGAGUAGCGGCGAGCGAAAGGGAAAGAGGCCAAACCAAAUUGUUUACAGUUUGGGGUUGUGGACCACCGACAUUGACGAAGUUAUGCGAGCCGAAUAGGGUUGGAAAGCUCAAGCAGAGAAGGUAAUACUCCUGUAGGCGAAGCAGAAAGCGCAUAGGUGGCACCAGAGUAGGACCGGACACGUGUAACCCGGUCUGAAGCAGGAGGGACCACCCUCCAAGCCUAAAUACUACCCAGUGACCGAUAGCGAAUAGUACCGUGAGGGAAAGGUGAAAAGAACCCCGGGAGGGGAGUGAAAUAGAAUCUGAAACCUGAUGCUUACAAGCAUAGGGAGCGCAAGUGACCUAGUACUUUUUGUAGAACGGGCCAACGAGUUAUGGUAUGUAGCGAGGUUAAGUUGCUGGAGCAACGGAGCCGUAGAGAAAUCGAGUCUGAAUAGGGCGAGAGUUACAUGCUGUAGACCCGAAACCGGGUGACCUAUCCAUGAGCAGGUUGAAGUAACCGUAAAAGGUUAUGGAGGACCGAACCUAUAUCUGUUGAAAAAGGUUAGGAUGACUUGUGGAUAGCGGUGAAAUUCCAAUCGAACUCGGAUAUAGCUGGUUCUCCUCGAAAUAGCUUUAGGGCUAGCCUCAAGGUAAAGAUACACGGGGGUAGAGCACUGACUGUUCGCGGGGCCUUCACCGGUUACCAACAACUAUCAAACUCCGAAUACCGUGGUAUCAUACUUGGGAGUCAGACUAUGAGAGAUAAGUUCCAUGGUCGAAAGGGAAACAGCCCAGAUCAACAGCUAAGGUCCCAAAGAGUAAGUUAAGUGGAAAAGGAUGUGGGAUUGCACAAACAGCUAGGAUGUUGGCUUAGAAGCAGCCAUACAUUUAAAGAGUGCGUAAUAGCUCACUAGUCGAGUGAUCCUGCGCCGAAGAUAAACGGGGCUCAAACUUACCACCGAAGCUUUGGAAUUAGUAUAACUAAUUGGUAGAGGAGCAUUCUAUACAGGUAGAAGGAGGCGCGUAAGCAAAUCUGGACGGUAUAGAAGAGAGAAUGUUGGCAUGAGUAGCGUAAGGCGGGUGAGAAUCCCGUCCGCCGAAAAUCUAAGGUUUCCUGAGGAAGGUUCGUCCUCUCAGGGUAAGUCGGGACCUAAGCCGAGAGCGAACGCUGUAGGCGAUGGACAACAGGUUGAUAUUCCUGUACCACCAAGGAUUGUUUGAAUGAAGUGGGGACACAGAAGGAUAGAUUGAGCACGCCGUUGGUUGAGCGUGUCCAAGCAGUAAGGCUUGAAAGUAGGCAAAUCCGCUUUCUACAAGGCUGAGCUGUGAUGGGGUGGUCGAAUGACCGGUAGCAAUCGAUUUCACGCUGUCAAGAAAAGCCGCUAAUGAGAUCCAAGGUGCCCGUACCGCAAACCGACACAGGUAGAUGAGGAGAGAAUCCUAAGGUGAGCGAGAGAACUAUUGUUAAGGAACUCGGCAAAAUAACCCCGUAACUUCGGGAGAAGGGGUGCCUGCUUCGGCAGGCCGCAGUGAAGAGGUCCAGGCAACUGUUUACCAAAAACACAGGUCUCUGCUAAAGCGAAAGCUGAUGUAUAGGGGCUGACGCCUGCCCGGUGCUGGAAGGUUAAGGGGAAGUGUUAGGGCAACCGAAGCACAGAACUUAAGCCCCAGUAAACGGCGGCCGUAACUAUAACGGUCCUAAGGUAGCGAAAUUCCUUGUCGGGUAAGUUCCGACCCGCACGAAAGGCGUAAUGAUUUG